rnacentral:rRNA from 1 species
GACGAACGCUGGCGGCGUGCCUAAUACAUGCAAGUAGAACGCACAGUUUAUACCGUAGCUUGCUACACCAUAAACUGCGAGUUGCGAACGGGUGGGUAACGCGUAGGUAACCUGCCUGGUAGCGGGGGAUAACUAUUGGAAACGAUAGCUAAUACCGCAUAAUAUUAAUUAUUGCAUGAUAAUUGAUUGAAAGAUGCAAUUGCAUCACUACCAGAUGGACCUGCGUUGUAUUAGCUAGUAGGUGAGGUAACGGCUCACCUAGGCGACGAUACAUAGCCGACCUGAGAGGGUGAUCGGCCACACUGGGACUGAGACACGGCCCAGACUCCUACGGGAGGCAGCAGUAGGGAAUCUUCGGCAAUGGACGAAAGUCUGACCGAGCAACGCCGCGUGAGUGAAGAAGGUUUUCGGAUCGUAAAGCUCUGUUGUAAGAGAAGAACGGGUGUGAGAGUGGAAAGUUCACACUGUGACGGUAUCUUACCAGAAAGGGACGGCUAACUACGUG